rnacentral:tRNA from 1 species
UGGGGUGUAGCUCGGUGGUACAGUGCUUGCCUAGCAUGCAUGAGGCCCUGAGUUCCAUUCUCAGUACUCCAA